GAUGAACGCUGGCGGCGUGCCUAAUACAUGCAAGUCGAGCGAACAGACGAGGAGCUUGCUCCUCUGACGUUAGCGGCGGACGGGUGAGUAACACGUGGAUCACCUACCUAUAAGACUGGGAUAACUUCGGGAAACCGGAGCUAAUACCGGAUAACAUGUUGAACCGCAUGGUUCAACAGUGAAAGACGGUCUUGCUGUCACUUCUCGAUGGAUCCGCGCCGCAUUAGCUAGUUGGUAAGGUAACGGCUUACCAAGGCAACGAUGCGUAGCCGACCUGAGAGGGUGAUAGGCCACACGGGAAGUGGAACAGGGUCCAGGCUCCUACGGGAGGCAGCAGUAGGGAAUCGUCCGCAAUGGGCGAAAUCCUUACGGAGCAACGCCGAGUGAGUGGAGAAGAUCUUCGGAUCGGAAAACUCUGUUAUGAGGGAAGAACAAAUGUGUAAGUAACUAUGCACGUCUUGACGGUACCUAAUCAGAAAGCCACGGCUAACUACGUG
rnacentral:rRNA from 1 species